GAGGACACGGGUCACUGGCAACGGUGGGGGGUGUGAAGCUCCUCGGACAAUGUAUUCCCGGACGUAUCGGGCGAGCUGUUCCCGCGAGGGGACUGUUCGGAGACUCCCAGCAGCAAGGGAUUGAGGAG
rfam:Candidatus Burkholderia pumila strain TZHbot3 BPMIctg518, whole genome shotgun sequence.